GGCCCAUAUUCCUACGGGAAGCAGCAGUAGGGAAUCUUCCACAAUGGACGAAAGUCUGAUGGAGCAAUACCAUGUGAACGAUGAAGGCCUUUUUGGUUGUAAAGUUCUUUUACGAGGGAUAAUUAUGAUAGUACUUCGUGAAUAAGUGACAGCAAACUAUGUGCCAGCAGCUGCGGUAAUACAUAGGUCGCAAGCAUUAUUCGGAUUUAUUGGGCGUAAAGCAAGCGCAGGCGGAUGUGUAAGUUCUGUGUUAAAUGCAGCUACUCAAUAGUUGUAUGCACCGAAUACUACAUGUCUAGAUUGUGGUAGGGAGUUUCGGAAUUAAGCAUGGAGCGGUGGAAUGUGUAGAUAUGCUUAAGAACACCAGAGGCGAAGGCGGAAACUUAGGCCAUAAAUGACGCUUAGGCUUGAAAGUGUGGGGAGCAAAUGGGAUUAGAUACCCCAGUAGUCCACACCGUAAACGAUGGGUAUUAGAUAUUAGGGCUUUAGCUUUAGUGUUGUAGCUUACGCGUUAAAUACCCCGCCUGGGUAGUACAUAUGCAAAUAUGAAACUCAAAGGAAUUGACGGGGACCUGAACAAGUGGUGGAGCAUGUUGCUUAAUUCGAUAAUACACGAAAAACCUUACCAAGGUUUGACAUCCCUCGCAAAGCUAUAGAAAUAUAGUAGAGGUUAUCGAGGUGACAGGUGGUGCAUGGCUGUCGUCAGCUCGUGUCUUGAGAUGUUUGGUUAAGUCCCGCAACGAGCGCAACCCCACUCUUUAGUUACUUGUCUAAAGAGACUGCACAGUAAUGUAGAGGAAGGAUGGGAUCACGUCAAGUCAUCAUGCCCCUUAUGCCUUGGGCUGCAAACGUGCUACAAUGGCGAACACAAUGUGUUGCAAACCAGCGAUGGUAAGCUAAUCACCAAAUUUCGUCUCAGUUCGGAUAGGAGGCUGCAAUUCGCCUCCUUGAAGUUGGAAUCACUAGUAAUCCCGU
rnacentral:rRNA from 1 species